rnacentral:lncRNA from 1 species
UCAUGUAAGUGUUCAAGCCCAAGGAUGGACUCUCUUCUGAUCCUGAUACAGACAUGGACAAAGAUGCCAUAAAUCUGUUCAAAUAUGCCAGGAAAGGGAGGAACUUCAUUCUUGGACAGAAGUUAAUCUAAGAAAUCACACUCAUCAUUAGCUAGAAAAGAUCCUCUUUUUCGAAGCACUGAAUUCAUUUAUCACUAGGACUCCAAGAACAGACAGGCUUACCAGCUUUCUAAUCUCUCCUCUAGAUAAAGCAAACCAGAUGUCAAAAGUUUACUGCUGAAGCAGACUUCUGCAGAUAAACUGUGUCUGAAAAUCAUGUAUUCAGUGUGCUCAUAGCUGAAAGAAGACAUUAACCAAGUUUAGUGCAAGAGCAAGCUGUGCCUUCUUGAAGGCAGCAUAAUGAAUUAUUGGAACAAAACAUCAGCUACUGAGAUGUUUUCAUUACUGGAAGACUUGAAAGCAAUACAGGACAGCUUUCUGAAUAACCAUUACCUCAAACAAGGGUUCUGAAGUGAGUACAGAAGUUACUGAAUAAAAUUUUAUGUCACAUGAGAAGGAAAGAAAAUUCAAAGGUGGACAGGAAGAUGUCCCAGUAAGGAGGGGCAGAACCAUCUGGGUGCAUACUUCAGGAUCUCUUUUUUCUGAAAUCUUCCAGGUGAGCAGAUGACCAGUGUUGAUAUGCCCACAGGCAUUGACAUGCCUCAUUGCAGGUUUUUGAUUCUUCUGUGAUUUUCGGAUGUUGAUUUUCAGAACUUCAGUUCCAGCCAAGUUCUCUGAUGUCUGAAAUGCUGAAAAGUGUACUGGAGAGAGCAGAGGAUUUCCAGGGGUCUAAGAGGUUCAGUCUCUUGCCUCUGAAGAUCUGGUGCAGAUCCCAGCAAUGCUCCAGGGGUGGCUGCUCCACUCUGCUAUGGACCAUGCCCUAUGGUGUGUCCACUGUUGUUCAGUGGCCAGUUGUUCUCCUAAGAUGUUUCUGGGACACUUCUCUGUACAGGCUGUAGCAUCUUGUAGCCAAAACGCAGUUGGGGAGAAAGAACCCCAGGUAUGAGGUCAGGCACAUUUUGCCUGAAGCUAUUAUUACAUUAGUUGAAAGAAUACUUGCUAUUUAAAGAAAACAACAAGCAAACUGAAAAACAGACAAACAAACAAGAACAAUAAAAUAGAGAAAUCAAAGUCA